GCACAGGUGGGUUACCUGGCAGAGGUGGGUUACCUGAGGCAGGUGGGUUACCUGGGGCAGGUGGGUUACCUGGCACAGGUGGGUUACCUGGGGCAGGUGGGUUACCUGGCACAGAUGGGUUACCUGGCACAGGUGGGUUACCUGAGGCAGGUGGGUUACCUGGGGCAGGUGAGGUUACCUGAGGCAGGUGGGUUACCUGGCACAGGUGGGUUACCUGAGGCAGGUGGGUUACCUGGGGCAGGUGAGGUUACCUGAGGCAGGUGGGUUACCUGGCACAGGUGGGUUACCUGAGGCAGGUGGGUUACCUGGCACAGAUGGGUUACCUGGCACAGGUGGGUUACCUGAGGCAGGUGGGUUACCUGGCACAGGUGAGGUUACCUGGCACAGAUGGGUUACCU